rnacentral:rRNA from 1 species
UACGUAGGGGGCUAGCGUUGUCCGGAAUUAUUGGGCGUAAAGAGCUCGUAGGCGGUGUGUCGCGUCGGCCGUGAAAACCUGGGGCUUAACUCUGGGCGUGCGGUCGAUACGGGCAUCACUAGAGUUCGGCAGGGGAGACUGGAAUUCCUGGUGUAGCGGUGAAAUGCGCAGAUAUCAGGAGGAACACCGGUGGCGAAGGCGGGUCUCUGGGCCGAUACUGACGCUGAGGAGCGAAAGCGUGGGGAGCGAACAGG